rnacentral:rRNA from 1 species
UACAGAGGGGGCAAGCGUUGUUCGGAAUUACUGGGCGUAAAGGGCGCGUAGGCGGCCCGCUAAGUCGAACGUGAAAUCCCCGGGCUCAACCCGGGAACUGCGUCCGAUACUGGCAGGCUUGAAUCCGGGAGAGGGAUGCGGAAUUCCAGGUGUAGCGGUGAAAUGCGUAGAUAUCUGGAGGAAUACCGGCGGCGAAGGCGGCAUCCUGGACCGGCAUUGACGCUGAUGAGCGAAAGCUAGGGGAGCAAACGGG